UCAAAAACAGCCACAAUACCAAACCUGACUUCCUCCCAGAUGCUGCCUCAAACGCCAUUCUUGGAGAUGGGACACUUACCAGCAUUGCUGCUGCUACGACUAAAACUCUUUUUUAAUCCUCCAAAUCUGUUGUAUGUUUCUAAAGCGACCUUUAACAAAUCUAUUAAACUCUUGAUGCCUUUUUGUUCACAAUACUGCCCCAUUCUAGAUCCCUCCUACUGAUCUGGGCCUAUGUUUGUGUGCACAGAGGCCAUGCCACAUCUGCCUGCCAUAUCUCAGAUGUAGACAUAGUUACAGCUGCAAGGGAAACUCCUGGAACUGCACACACCUGGACUUUUCAUUUGGAAAACUCUGCAUUCACAUCUGUUAUUUUAAAAGAUCUUCAGAGAACUAGCAUUAAAUUUUUCAAAGCCAUUGUCGUCCUUUUUUAAUUUGCUCAGAAAGUUCAGAGUGUUUCUUAAAGGCUCUGCACAGUACUAGGGAAACUAAAACUGCGUUUAAUUGGGAGUUUCAGGUUAACAAGGACUAUAGCUAGGCCUGGCGUACGUUGUGUACCUGUAAUUGUACUACAUCUGAUCAGUCCCAAAAUAAAUAGGAAUGGAAAAUCUCUGGCUGCAUUUUAAUAUCAAAUAUUGGAAAUUUUAUGAGAAAAGAAUGAAAACUAAAUGUUUACAGCUUGGCUAAGAGCAACUAAGGGAAGGGAAUCAUUAUCCACAAGCAGGGCUUUGUAAAAAGUUGCCUGAGGACUGAGCUUGCUAGCCAGGAUAAAAAACAGCUAUGCUUCUAUGUUCACCAAGGCCGGGGUGUCAAAAUCAUUUUGGGGAGAGAGACAAAAUCUCUUUUUAAUUAUGGUCUCUGGGCCAUGUAAAAAUGCAUGACAGCAUAUGUUCUCAACCCACAGCAGAUCAACCAUGGAGGUCAGUGGGAGAUUUGGGAGUCUGGCCUAUAAACUAACUUUUUAGUUAUUCUCAUUAUUUACUGUAUUCAGUCCCUUAGAGGCAUAUUCUGCAUCAACUGGAGGAAAAUUCUGCUCCCCGUUAGGAGCCUUGCUAUUCUGCCCUUUGUUGUUCUUGCUUUCUCAUCCUCCUUUCUCUUUCUCUUCCUCUUCCCUGGCUUUAGGUUGCUCCUCCUUCCUUCCCAAUGUUUCUUUCCCUGUAAUAUCUUCCAAUUUGGGGUCAAUUCCUACCCCAUUCCACUGCUAAAUUAAACAGAGAUAUAGUUAAUACUAGUGUCUAAAGUCUCAUUAGUGCAGAGUUAACACUACAGUGAGAUUAAUAGUAGGCAGAGAUCACAUCUCUGAGACAGUGUUUCAAGCUCUCUGCAGACACAGACAAUACUGUACAAGUAACAUUGGGUUUGCAGUUGGAAGAUUUUCUUCAGAACCCUGAAAGCAAGAAACUUUAUUUUUAAUAAUGAAAGCUGAGAUUCUGCUGAUCCUGAAUAUGCCAUGUGGGCUACAAACAGUCUGUGCAACCUGUGGUUUGCGUGUCUGAUACUUCUGCACUAAAGCCACAACCCCAGCAGUGUAAAGAAAUAAACCAGUUGUGUACUUAUCAUGAUGUAGUGUAUUUAAUUGCAGUGUGUUAUCAAUCAGCUUCCUAUUUAACACUUCUUCCAUAUCCCUUGCUUUUGGUUUAUUUGUAUUACGCUAGUACCUGGGAGACCCAGUCCUGGCCCUCAAAAUAGUAAGUGCUUGAUAAACACAGAACAAAAAGACUGACUCUGCCACAAAGAGCUUACAAUCUACCUUCUUGCUCUGCUUGGCUCUGCCCUACUUCUUGUUCAUUGUGUAUCUCUUCCUACGUUUGAUUUUCAGGGUCUUCUCUUUUCUUUCUUCUUAUUCUGCAAGGUCUUUUCCCCCGUCUGCCCUGUUUUCUCUCUCACACCUCUCCCUACUUAAAAUUCCAUGUUGAAAGUCUGAUGCAAAGACUCUAAAGGCUUGGCUACACUUGCGAGUUAGUGCACAAUAAAGGAGCCCAGGGCGCACUAGCUCACUACCUGUCCACACUGGCAAGGCAGGUAGAGCGCUCUGACUCCAUGACUACAGCGCUCCUGGUAAUCCACCUCGGCAAGUGGAAUAACGUUUGCUGCACGCCCAUUGGAGCGCCGUGACGCCAGUGUGGAUGACCUGUCUCGUUAAUGCGCUCUGAUUGGCCUCCAGAAGUGUCCCAUAAUGCCUGUGCUAGCCACUCUGGUCAUCACUUUAAAAUCUACUGCCCUGCCCUCAGGUGCCCAACUGUCAGACCCGCCCUUUAAAUUCUCUGGGAACUUUGAAAAUCCCUUUCCUGUUUGUUCAGCCAGGCGUGGAAUGCUCUCAGCUAAUUUUUCCACGUGACCAUGCCUCCAUGCGCCAGGCGAUCCUCAGUAUGGAGCAAUGGCAAGGUGCUGGAUCUCAUCAAUGUUUGGGAGGAGGAAGCUGUCCAGUAUCAGCUCGCUCCAGCUGUAGGAAUUACAAUACUUUUGAGCAGAUAUCAAGGGACAUGAUGGAAAGGGGCCAUGACCGGGACGCACUGCAGUGCAGGGUUAAAGUGAAGGAGCUGCGGAAUGCCUACCGCAAAGCCCGCGAGGCAAACAACCAUUCCGGUGCUUCCCCAUGACCUGCCGUUUCUACAAAGAGCUGAACACGAUACUUGGGGGCGACCCCACCUCCACUCCGAGUACCACCAUGGACCCUUCAGAGCCCAGUUCAACAAGGUAGGGGGAAGAGGAGGAGGAAAGCGGGGGCGAGGAUGCUGAGGAGGAGGAAGACACUCCAGAAUCCCUAAAUGCAUACAGCCAGGAGCUGCUCUCAAACCAGGAGGAAGGUAGCCAGUUGCGGCAGCCAGUGCUUGGGGAAAGACAAACACCAGAGGAGGUUUCCGAUGCAACCUUGAGAUCUCACCCAUCCGUGUUAUCACCGGCCAAAAGACUCCAAAGAAUCAGAAAGAGGCCACGUAGAAGCAAGGAAGACAUGUUGCAUGAAAUAAUAUAGCAUUCAAGUAAUGAAAAUCAGAAAGCGCAGGAGUGGCGGGAGAGUGAAAGGAGGAUCCGCCAGCAGAACGAGGAGCGCUGGCACAAAAGUGCGAUGCUCCAGCAGAAAAGCACAGAUCGGCUGAUUAAGCAUAAUGGAGUGCCAAGCAGACUCUAUCCAGGCGCUCGUAGCCAUGCAGGCAGAGCAUUACCGUGCCUGCCCCCCGCCCCCACAGCCCUUGUUCCAAAACUCUUUCCCUUGUGCCCCCAUGUCACCUCCAAUCCACUUUCCCCAACAUCUGGGUUCUUGCCACCACCAUCAGCCUCCAGCACCUGUAGCUUCACCACCCAGCCCUGAAAACUAAUACCCUUACCCACUGCACUCAACCCCCAUUACUAUGCAGUAUAGUCAUUCUGAAGUGCAGCACUCAUUGCACAGCACUCCAGACAGGACAUAACACAAAUCUGUGAUUAUACUGUUCUUCACCCCACCCUUGCCCUUUCUGUUUCCCAAGCAAUUGUGUUUCUUUUCAAUACAUGAAUUUUCUUUUCAAUAAAUGGAUUUUUUGGUUUUGAAAA